GACGAACGCUGGCGGCGUGCCUAAUACAUGCAAGUCGAGCGGAUUGAUGGGAGCUUGCUCCCUGAUAUCAGCGGCGGACGGGUGAGUAACACGUGGGCAACCUGCCUAUAAGACUGGGAUAACUUCGGGAAACCGGAGCUAAUACCGGAUAAUCCCUUUCCUCUCAUGAGGAAAGGCUGAAAGAUGGUUUACGCUAUCACUUAUAGAUGGGCCCGCGGCGCAUUAGCUAGUUGGUGAGGUAACGGCUCACCAAGGCAACGAUGCGUAGCCGACCUGAGAGGGUGAUCGGCCACACUGGGACUGAGACACGGCCCAGACUCCUAGGGGAGGCAGCAGUAGGGAAUCUUCCGCAAUGGACGAAAGUCUGACGGAGCGACGCCGCGUGAGUGAUGAAGGUUUUCGGAUCGUAAAACUCUGUUGUUAGGGAAGAACAAGUACGAAAGUAACUGCUCGUACCUUGACGGUACCUAACCAGAAAGCCACGGCUAACUACGUGCCAGCCGCCGCCGUAA
rnacentral:rRNA from 1 species